rnacentral:tRNA from 1 species
UUUAGUGUGGCAGAUUAGUGCAAUGAAUUUAAGAUUCAUAUAUAAAUAUUAAUAUUUUACUAGAA